GUCGUUUACCCACAAUGCUUUGCAACAUUAUACAAAAGGGAAGCGUGCCGUGAACGUUUCUCUUUUGUGACUGUCGCUAUUUAGUUGGUCAUGUGAAGUUUUGUGGUAACGGUUAACUUUUUUUUAAAAAUUCAGGCAGAUAAUUUCCGCACUAUGGCGCAAACUAGAGGGAUUUUUAUUUUGUGCUUUGACAAAUGGUCGUGAAUGCUGUACCGCCGUGCUUACUCAAGAAGUAUUGCACCGAGUACCAUGGCGGGCUAUUCCUAAACAAUUUACAUGAAUGUGUUCUGCUGGAUGGAUUAAGCAGUGGAAGGAAGCCAGAUCAACCGGGGUAUGAUGAGGGGCAGUUUUUUCUCCCAAAUAUGGAUCAUGGAGGUCAAUUUUGCUGACUAAUCUUUUUGUGUAUGUUAAUAAAAUAUUUUUAUUUCAA